GGGUGCUAUAAUGCAGUCGAGCGGACGGAUGGGAGCUUGCUCCCUGAAGUCAGCGGCGGACGGGUGAGUAACACGUGGGCAACCUGCCUGUAAGACUGGGAUAACUUCGGGAAACCGGAGCUAAUACCGGAUAAUGCAUAACCUCUCAUGAGGCUAUGCUGAAAGAUGGUUUCGGCUAUCACUUACAGAUGGGCCCGCGGCGCAUUAGCUAGUUGGUGAGGUAACGGCUCACCAAGGCAACGAUGCGUAGCCGACCUGAGAGGGUGAUCGGCCACACUGGGACUGAGACACGGCCCAGACUCCUACGGGAGGCAGCAGUAGGGAAUCUUCCGCAAUGGACGAAAGUCUGACGGAGCAACGCCGCGUGAGUGAUGAAGGUUUUCGGAUCGUAAAACUCUGUUGUCAGGGAAGAACAAGUGCCGGAGUAACUGCCGGCACCUUGACGGUACCUGACCAGAAAGCCACGGCUAACUACGUGCCAGCAGCCGCGGUAAUACGUAGGUGGCAAGCGUUGUCCGGAAUUAUUGGGCGUAAAGCGCGCGCAGGCGGUCUCUUAAGUCUGAUGUGAAAGCCCACGGCUCAACCGUGGAGGGUCAUUGGAAACUGGGGGACUUGAGUGCAGAAGAGGAAAGUGGAAUUCCACGUGUAGCGGUGAAAUGCGUAGAGAUGUGGAGGAACACCAGUGGCGAAGGCGACUUUCUGGUCUGUAACUGACGCUGAGGCGCGAAAGCGUGGGGAGCAAACAGGAUUAGU
rnacentral:rRNA from 1 species